rnacentral:rRNA from 1 species
UCGAGAAUCUUCGGCAAUGGACGCAAGUCUGACCGAGCGACGCCGCGUGCGGGAUGAAGGCCUUCGGGUUGUAAACCGCUGUCGGAGGGGAUGAAAUCGUGGUGGGUUCUCCCACCUCGUUGACAUAGCCUCAAAGGAAGUGUGGGCUAAGUUCGUGCCAGCAGCCGCGGUAAGACGAACCACACAAACGUUAUUCGGAAUUACUGGGCUUAAAGGGUGCGUAGGCGGCGCGGAAAGUAGGGUGUGAAAUCCCUCGGCUCAACCGAGGAAUUGCGCCCUAAACUACCGUGCUCGAGGGAGAUAGAGGUGAGCGGAACUUAGGGUGGAGCGGUGAAAUGCGUUGAUAUCCUAAGGAACACCGGUGGCGAAAGCGGCUCACUGGAUCUCUUCUGACGCUGAGGCACGAAAGCUAGGGUAGCGAACGG